AUGAGAUCUAGAACCAUGCAUGUAUGUUUUGAACGGAAAGCGUUGGCGGUUGGAUUGGCCAGUUCCUUGCCCUGGAAUCCUACCCUCCACAGAAUAUUUUUAUACUUCCCAAGACCGAGAACUGGAGAACGAAUCAUCCUGCAUCUACUCUUUCUCCACGGAGGACCUCGCGCUGCUCCCCCUGCGGGAUCUGGGCGUCUUCCACAACGGGGACAACUCCCAUCAGUUUGGGUUCACCGUUGGACCCAUUUGUUUCCACUAAGAUGGUCCUCGACGGAUGGCGUGGAUGAUGGUGGGGGGGAAUGCAAGAAUCGUUUCCCCCGGAAGAGGCCACCGAUUUUGGGAAAACCCUCUUUCCUCUUUAUGAGCUUCUUAGAGGAAAUUGCUUUUGCUGCCGACGGUGCUUCCUUACAAAGGAUGGACACUAUGGAUUCCCCUUUACAAGGACAUGGUCCUCAAGUCCCAUUUCUUUAGGAGAUAUAUGUAUAAAACGUGUUAAUUUAAGUAACGACGACAAAGUCAUUGAAUUACCUGCGGGAGCUGGCGGGUCUUUUUUUAUAUAUACUUUGUAUAUUUCCCCAUUGCAGGCAGAAAUCAACCAGUUUAUAUCUGGCUGAGGUGGGGGAGGGAAGGAAUGCCCCCACCUCCAAGGUCUCAGUGGAAUACAAGUCCCAUCCACUCUUGAUGAUGGUGUGGAUGAUGGGACACACGGUCCUGCAAUAUCAGGAGGGCCAUGAGUUGCUGAUUCUUAGGCAACCGUCACAAGUUGAGUUGGGCAUCUCCCGACUCGUUUCCCCCCUCUAAGGGCCAAACCAGCUCUGAUGUCAGUGGGGUCCAUGAAAUUAUAACGCACAAUGUAUACAAUACAGGGAAGUCAGAGUGGCCUCCCAAUUGCGAGGUAUCUGGAAGGAGAAGUUUAAGGGACAAAAAUGUGCUUACAAGCAAAACCUCCAUUCCCGCCACUAGAGAGAGGCCAAGAGUCACUGCCGGAAACCUUUUCUAAGGAGAGGAAAAAAAAUCGCUCUUGAGAGAAAAUGAGCAGAAGAUGGAAGCCCUUCUGUCAAGGUUUUGGUCCAGCCUGGCGUAAUUUCCUUCUUUAAGGAAAAUCUUUAAUAAAUGGAAUUUUAAUAGGUAGAAACA
rnacentral:lncRNA from 1 species